rnacentral:rRNA from 1 species
UACGGGGGGAGCAAGCGUUGUUCGGAUUUACUGGGCGUAAAGGGCGCGUAGGCGGCGUGACAAGUCACUUGUGAAAUCUCCGGGCUUAACUCGGAACGGUCAAGUGAUACUGUCGGACUAGAGUACAGAAGGGGCAACUGGAAUUCUCGGUGUAGCGGUGAAAUGCGUAGAUAUCGAGAGGAACACCUGCGGCGAAGGCGGGUUGCUGGGCUGACACUGACGCUGAGGCGCGAAGCCAGGGAGCAAACAGG